UGAGGGUCGGCAAUCGGGCGG
rnacentral:siRNA from 1 species